rnacentral:rRNA from 1 species
UACGUAGGGUGCAAGCGUUAAUCGGAAUUACUGGGCGUAAAGCGUGCGCAGGCGGCUUUGCAAGACAGAUGUGAAAUCCCCGGGCUUAACCUGGGAACUGCAUUUGUGACUGCAUGGCUGGAGUGUGGCAGAGGGGGAUGGAAUUCCGCGUGUAGCAGUGAAAUGCGUAGAUAUGCGGAGGAACACCGAUGGCGAAGGCAAUCCCCUGGGCCUGCACUGACGCUCAUGCACGAAAGCGUGGGGAGCAUACAGG